CCCCGCUCCAGCCCUGCCUCCAGCCUUUCCCAGGAUGAGAAAACCAAGACCAGAGGGCAGCAGAACUCGCCCACGGUUGGGCAGCUGGUAAACGGCAGAGUGUGUGCGAACACACAGAAGUGUGGCAAUUCCUAACUGCCCUUCAGUCUAGCACCUCCCAAAAGGAUGUGUUACACAACUCCGGGGACAUUAGUCUAAGAAUGCACAGUGAGAACUGAACCAGACUCCACGACAGCUCUUGGACUAGCGGCAGCAGCUAUCUGAGGAAAGAGGGCUAUUAGUCACAGUGGCCAUAAAUGCUCUGCAAAUUGGAGUGGAGUUGCUUUGAGCCAC